rnacentral:antisense_RNA from 1 species
GAUAGCCAUAAAUCACUGUCGGAUCGAGCGUUGGAUUUGUAAUGACUCUGACAUCUUCGACAUUCGGGUCGUACAAACCACCAAAGUACAUUGCCUUCGCGACUAAAAGAAAAGCACCCACGCCGAGUAAAACGAGGUGAAUGCCCAAAAUCGUCGUCAUUUUGUUGGUAUCUGCCCA